UACUAGCGGUCCAAGUCGCAGCCAUCUUUAUUAGGUCUAAAACAUCCGUAGCUUGCUUGAUAAGUUUCCUGUGAAAUUUUAUCUCUUAAGGGUAAAGCGAGCAGGAAGUACUGUUAAGCUAGAGACUGGAAGACGGAAGAAGUACGAUCAAAGUAGUGGUAAAAUACGUUAAUCUUGGUCGGACUAACAACAGCGAAGGCAUCUUCCGAGGACAGUUCUGACAGUGAGGGAUGAAGGCUAGGGGCGCAAAACAGAUUAGAUACCUGUGUAGUCCUAGCAGUAAACACUGCACACUAAACAUCAGUACCUCCUCGAGAGGUAUUGGUGCUGAAGGGAAGCCGAAGAGUGUGCUACCUGGGAAGUAUAGUCGCAAGGCCGAAACUUAAAGGAAUUGGCGGGGAGGCACUACAACGGGUGACGCGUGCGGUUCAAUUAGAUUCCACACCGUGAACCUCACCAGGAUCGACAGCAGGAUGAAGGUCAGUCUAAAGGGCUUACCUGACACGCUGAGAGGAGUUGCAUGGCCGACGUCAGCCUGUGCUGUGAAGUGACCUGUUAAAUCAGGUAACAGGCAAGACCCAUGUGCAUAUUUACUAAUGAACUAUAUGCAGAUUGCCUUGGUAACAAGGAUGAAAGUGUGGGCUACGUUAGGUGAGUACAGCCCGACAACCCUGGGCAACACGCGCGCGUCAAUGGUGGAUACAACGGGGUGCAACUCUGAAAAGAGAAGCUAAUCUCUUAAAGUCCAUCUCAGUCCAGAUUGAGGUUUGUAACUCAGCCUCAUGACGCUGGAAUCCGUAGUAAUCGUUUGUUAUCAGCGAACGGUGAAUACGUCACUGUCUCU
rnacentral:rRNA from 1 species